CCUACGGGGGACAGCAGUGAGGAAUAUUGGUCAAUGGACGAGAGUCUGAACCAGCCAAGUAGCGUGAAGGAUGACUGCCCUAUGGGUUGUAAACUUCUUUUAUAUGGGAAUAAAAUGUUCCACGUGUGGGAUUUUGUAUGUACCAUAUGAAUAAGGAUCGGCUAACUCCGUGCCAGCAGCCGCGGUAAUACGGAGGAUCCGAGCGUUAUCCGGAUUUAUUGGGUUUAAAGGGAGCGUAGGUGGAUUGUUAAGUCAGUUGUGAAAGUUUGCGGCUCAACCGUAAAAUUGCAGUUGAAACUGGCAGUCUUGAGUACAGUAGAGGUGGGCGGAAUUCGUGGUGUAGCGGUGAAAUGCUUAGAUAUCACGAAGAACUCCGAUUGCGAAGGCAGUUCACUGGACUGCAACUGACACUGAGGCUCGAAAGUGUGGGUAUCAAACAGGAUUAGAUACCCGGGUAGUA
rnacentral:rRNA from 1 species